UGUAAAGCCCUGCAGGGUGUCUGAAUAUAUUUAGAAUCUAAAUCAAAAGAGGAGCUUAAUAAGCAUUGCCAACUUUUCGGAUGAGAAAUCAGAGGAAGUGAUUGGCACCAAACUCUUUAGGUAAAGGAUUUGAAUGGAUUUAAUUGGAUUUUACAGAAUCGAGUUUGAAUUAAUCACAGGUACUUAAACUGAAUGCAUAUUGCAACUGCACGUAUUCGAGUACCAUCUGCUCUGGCCUUAUGAAAAGAACAAAUAGUUGCUAUUAGGCAGCUUUAUCAACUCCCAGUGGGCGUGCAGGUUCGCAUCGGCAAUGCCCAGAUGCAAUCGGCAGCUACCCAAGAGCCAACAGGCUCGACUCUUAGCAUAAAUACUUGACAACAGCGAAACGACUAUCCAAGAGCCUAGUCUGCAGGCUCAGCUCCAGCUCCAGCUCAAGCUUCGGCGGCGUUGACAGGCGAAAGGUGUACGAGGUGUGGGACGGGACAGGCAAACGACAUAAACACAGAACCCUUGGAAAAGUUGAAAUCAAUACACGAAUACGGCAGUUAAAAGCAGAAGGAACAUUUCUUACUUUGGCACAUUUAACGAGUGUUUUGUGCACUUGAGUGCUGGGACACCGAGCACUUUGUAGGACCCUGGCGGGACACUCGAGCCAGAGGAGGCGAACGAAAGAGAGACACAGAUACAAUUGUAUCUGCAGUUAGCCGAAUGGCAGCGUCAUUAUCAUCCUCAAUAUUAUGAUUAUUGUUUUAUAUUUGUCGAUUCUCAAGUUGAUGCGCAACUUUAGAAACCAAGUCUGGGAAUGGACGCAGCCAACUGGCAGAGGACAGAACAGAACCGAACAGAACAGACUGGAUGUCUGUCUGCCUGUGUCCGUGUGUCUGCCUGUCUGCUUGUCUAUCCUUUUGAUCUUUUGUCUUUUGCAAUUACAAUUAUAUUUUAUUUGCCCGAGUUGACACAGGAGACACAGGAGACACGACUGGCGCAGAGCAUCUCCUGUCCUUUUUGUCCCUCUAAUAGCCCUUUGAAAAUCAAUUACGACUGCGGUCAUAACCGGCAUCAUCCCAUCUCUGUGCCUGACUAUGCUUUAA